GUCUGGGUGGUGUAGUUGGUUAUUACGCUAGUCUCACACACUAGAUGUCCCCAGUUCGAACCCGGGCCCAGACA